rnacentral:rRNA from 1 species
AAUCCAUAGGUUAAUGAGGCGAACCGGGGGAACUGAAACAUCUAAGUACCCCGAGGAAAAGAAAUCAACCGAGAUUCCCCCAGUAGCGGCGAGCGAACGGGGAGGAGCCCAGAGCCUGAAUCAGCAUGUGUGUUAGUGGAAGCGUCUGGAAAGGCGCGCGAUACAGGGUGACAGCCCCGUACACAAAAGCGCAUGUGCUGUGAGCUCGAUGAGUAGGGCGGGACACGUGGUAUCCUGUCUGAAUAUGGGGGGACCAUCCUCCAAGGCUAAAUACUCCUGACUGACCGAUAGUGAACCAGUACCGUGAGGGAAAGGCGAAAAGAACCCCGGCGAGGGGAGUGAAAAAGAACCUGAAACCGUGUACGUACAAGCAGUGGGAGCACAGGUUUACCUGUGUGACUGCGUACCUUUUGUAUAAUGGGUCAGCGACUUAUAUUCUGUAGCAAGGUUAACCGUAUAGGGGAGCCGGAGGGAAACCGAGUCUUAACCGGGCGUUAAGUUGCAGGGUAUAGACCCGAAACCCGGUGAUCUAGCCAUGGGCAGGUUGAAGGUUGGGUAACACUAACUGGAGGACCGAACCGACUAAUGUUGAAAAAUUAGCGGAUGACCUGUGGCUGGGGGUGAAAGGCCAAUCAAACCGGGAGAUAGCUGGUUCUCCCCGAAAGCUAUUUAGGUAGCGCCUCGUGAAUUCAUCUCCGGGGGUAGAGCACUGUUUCGGCUAGGGGGCCAUCCCGGCUUACCAACCCGAUGCAAACUGCGAAUACCGGAGAAUGUUAUCACGGGAGACACACGGCGGGUGCUAACGUCCGUCGUGAAGAGGGAAACAACCCAGACCGCCAGCUAAGGUCCCAAAGUCAUGGUUAAGUGGGAAACGAUGUGGGAAGGCCCAGACAGCCAGGAUGUUGGCUUAGAAGCAGCCAUCAUUUAAAGAAAGCGUAAUAGCUCACUGGUCGAGUCGGCCUGCGCGGAAGAUGUAACGGGGCUAAACCAUGCACCGAAGCUGCGGCAGCGAACGUAUCACUUAAAGCGAUUCAGCGGGUUACGAUUGACGGAGCGAAGCGACGUCAAAGCGUAUACAAAGUCGAGUCGGUUUAAGGAUACGUUCGUUGGGUAGGGGAGCGUUCUGUAAGCCUGUGAAGGUGUGUCGUGAGGCAUGCUGGAGGUAUCAGAAGUGCGAAUGCUGACAUAAGUAACGAUAAAGCGGGUGAAAAGCCCGCUCGCCGGAAGACCAAGGGUUCCUGUCCAACGUUAAUCGGGGCAGGGUGAGUCGACCCCUAAGGCGAGGCCGAAAGGCGUAGUCGAUGGGAAACGGGUUAAUAUUCCCGUACUUGGUGUUACUGCGAAGGGGGGACGGAGAAGGCUAUGUUGGCCGGGCGACGGUUGUCCCGGUUUAAGCGUGUAGGCUGGUUUUCCAGGCAAAUCCGGAAAAUCAAGGCUGAGGCGUGAUGACGAGGCACUACGGUGCUGAAGCAACAAAUGCCCUGCUUCCAGGAAAAGCCUCUAAGCAUCAGGUAACAUCAAAUCGUACCCCAAACCGACACAGGUGGUCAGGUAGAGAAUACCAAGGCGCUUGAGAGAACUCGGGUGAAGGAACUAGGCAAAAUGGUGCCGUAACUUCGGGAGAAGGCACGCUGACA